GACGAACCGAGCGACCGUUGUUCGGAAUCACUGGGCUUAAAGGGCGCGUAGGCGGGUGCUCAAGUCUGUGGUGAAAUCCUCCGGCUCAACCGGAGAACGGCCAUGGAUACUGGGUGCCUCGAGGGUGAUAGGGGUAUGCGGAACUAUCGGUGGAGCGGUGAAAUGCGUUGAUAUCGAUAGGAACUCCGGUGGCGAAGGCGGCAUACUGGAUCACUUCUGACGCUGAGGCGCGAAAGCCAGGGGAGCGAACGGG
rnacentral:rRNA from 1 species